UACGGGGGGGGCAAGCGUUGUUCGGAAUUACUGGGCGUAAAGGGUCUGUAGGUGGCUUGCUAAGUCAGACGUGAAAUCCCUCAGCUUAACUGGGGAACUGCGUCUGAGACUGGCGAGCUUGAGGGCAGGAGAGGAACGCGGAAUUCCAGGUGUAGCGGUGAAAUGCGUAGAUAUCUGGAGGAACACCGGUGGCGAAGGCGGCUUCCUGGACCGAUACUGACGCUGAGGCGCGAAAGCUAGGGGAGCAAACGGG
rnacentral:rRNA from 1 species